UGAAUUCGUAGAUAUUAGAAAGAAUACCAAUUGCGAAGGCAGCUUUCUGGAUCAUUACUGACACUGAGGAACGAAAGCAUGGGUAGCGAAGAGGAUUAGAUACCCUCGUAGUCCAUGCCGUAAACGAUGUGUGUUAGACGUUGGAAAUUUAUUUUCAGUGUCGCAGCGAAAGCGAUAAACACACCGCCUGGGGAGUACGACCGCAAGGUUAAAACUCAAAUGAAUUGACGGGGACCCGCACAAGUAGUGGAGCAUGUGGUUUAAUUCGAAGAUACGCGCAGAACCUUACCAACACUUGACAUGUUCGUCGCAACUUUAAGAGAUUAAAGUUUUCGGUUCGGCCGGACGAAACACAGGUGCUGCAUGGCUGUCGUCAGCUCGUGUCGUGAGAUGUUGGGUUAAGUCCCGCAACGAGCGCAACCCUCACUUUUAGUUGCCAUCAUUAAGUUGGGCACUCUGAAAGAACUGCCAGUGAUAAGCUGGAGGAAGGUGGGGAUGACGUCAAGUCCUCAUGGCCCUUACGUGUUGGGCUACACACGUGCUACAAUGGUAUCUACAACAGGAAGCAAGACGGCGACGUUAAGCAAAUCCUUAAAAGAUACCUCAGUUCGGAUUGCACUCUGCAACUCGAGUGCAUGAAGCUGGAAUUACUAGUAAUCGUGGAUCAGCGUGCCACGGUGAAUGCGUUCCCGGGUCUUGUACACACCGCCCGUCACACCAUGGGAGUUGGUUCUACCUUAAGGCAAGGUUUAAAACCCUUGACCACGGUAUAGUCAGCGACUGGGGUGAAGUCGUAACAAGGUAGCCGUAGGGGAACCUGCGGCUG
rnacentral:rRNA from 1 species